rnacentral:rRNA from 1 species
CAGCAGUAGGGAAUCUUCCGCAAUGGACGAAAGUCUGACGGAGCAACGCCGCGUGAGUGAUGAAGGCUUUCGGGUCGUAAAACUCUGUUGUUAGGGAAGAACAAGUGCUAGUUGAAUAAGCUGGCACCUUGACGGUACCUAACCAGAAAGCCACGGCUAACUACGUGCCAGCAGCCGCGGUAAUACGUAGGUGGCAAGCGUUAUCCGGAAUUAUUGGGCGUAAAGCGCGCGCAGGUGGUUUCUUAAGUCUGAUGUGAAAGCCCACGGCUCAACCGUGGAGGGUCAUUGGAAACUGGGAGACUUGAGUGCAGAAGAGGAAAGUGGAAUUCCAUGUGUAGCGGUGAAAUGCGUAGAGAUAUGGAGGAACACCAGUGGCGAAGGCGACUUUCUGGUCUGUAACUGACACUGAGGCGCGAAAGCGUGGGGAGCAAACAGGAUUAGAUACCUGGGGUAGUCCC